UCAUUUCCAGACAAAUCCAUCCUACUCCCAAAAGAGGGAAAAAUAACAUUGGAAAGCUCCCUACGGAGAAGAGGAGGAACAAGAGCAAGGAGAGCUGCUCAAAGCAGCUCCUGGGACCCAGCACCCUGUGCCUCUGG